UUCGCAAUGCCCGAAAGGGUGACGAAGCGACGCCGCGUGUGGGAAGAAGGCCUUCGGGUUGUAAACCACUGUCGGGAGUUAAGAAAUGCAAGGGUGCUAAUAGUAUCCUUGCUUGACUAAGGCUCCGGAGGAAGCCACGGCUAACUCUGUGCCAGCAGCCGCGGUAAUACAGAGGCGGCAAGCGUUGUUCGGAAUUAUUGGGCGUAAAGAGCACGUAGGCGGCUAUGUAAGUCGGUUGUGAAAGCCUUCCGCUCAACGGAAGAACAGCAUCCGAUACUGCAUGGCUUGAGUGCGGGAGGGGAGAGUGGAACUUCUGGUGGAGCGGUGAAAUGCGUAGAUAUCAGAAGGAACGCCGGCGGCGAAAGCGGCUCUCUGGCCCAUAACUGACGCUGAGUGUGCGAAAGCUAGGGGAGCAAGCGGGAUUAGAUACCCCGGUAGUCCUAGCCGUAAACGAUGGGCACUAAGUAGAGGGGUUUU
rnacentral:rRNA from 1 species